CACGUAGGGUGCGAGCGUUGUCCGGAAUUAUUGGGCGUAAAGAGCUCGUAGGCGGUGUGUCGCGUCGGCCGUGAAAACCUGCAGCUUAACUGUGGGCGUGCGGUCGAUACGGGCAUCACUGGAGUUCGGCAGGGGAGACUGGAAUUCCUGGUGUAGCGGUGAAAUGCGCAGAUAUCAGGAGGAACACCAGCGGCGAAGGCGGGUAGCUGGGCCAACACUGACGCUGAUGCGCGAAAGCUAGGGUAGCAAACGGG
rnacentral:rRNA from 1 species